rnacentral:rRNA from 1 species
GUUGUGGUUAAAAAGCUCGUAGUUGGAUCUCAACAGCCUUGAAGCGGUUAACUUUGUAGUUUUACUGCUUUAUAGGCUGUGCUUUUGCUGGAGGUUUAGGGGUGCUCUUGAUCGAGUGUCUCUGGAUGCCAGCAGGUUUACUUUGAAAAAAUUAGAGUGCUCAAAGCAGGCUAAAAUGCCUGAAUAUUCGUGCAUGGAAUAAUAGAAUAGGAUGUCGAUCCUAUUUUGUUGGUUUUCGGGACUCGACAUAAUGAUAAAUAGGGACAGUCGGGGGCAUUUGUAUUCAAACGACAGAGGUGAAAUUCUUGGACCGUUUGAAGAUAAACUACUGCGAAAGCAUUUGCCAAGAAUGUUUUCAUUAAUCAAGAACGAAAGUUAGAGGUUCGAAGGCGAUUAGAUACCGCCCUAGUUCUAACCAUAAACGAUGCCAGCUAGCGAUCUGCCUGCGUUUUUACUGUAGACUGGGCAGGAAGCUUCCGGGAAACCAAAGCAUUUGGGUUCCAGGGGAAGUAUGGUUGCAAAGCUGAAACUUAAAGGAAUUGACGGAAGGGCACCACCAGGAGUGGAGCCUGUGGCUUAAUUUGACUCAACACGGGAAAUCUCACCAGGCCCGGACACUGGAAGGAUUGACAGAUUGAUAGCU